GACGAACGCUGGCGGCGUGCCUAAUACAUGCAAGUCGAGCGAAGCGGGGAGGGGGGUGCAAAACGUCGAUAACCCCCCAUAUGACUGGGGUAACUUCGGGAAACCGGUGCUAGUCCGGAUACUUAUAGCUGGUUCCGUGCGGCAUUAGCUAGUUGGUAAGGUAACGGCUUACCAAGGCAACGAUGCAUAGCGGACCUGAGAGGGUGAUCGGCCACACUGUAACUGAGACACGGUCCAGACUCCUACGGGAGGCAGCAGUAGGGAAUCUUCCGCAAUGGGCGAAAGCCUGACGGAGCAACGCCGCGUGAGUGAUGAAGGUCUUCGGAUCGUAAAACUCUGUUAUUAGAGAAGCGGUAUCUAACCAGAAAGCCACGGCUAACUACGUGCCAGCAGCCGCGGUAAUAC
rnacentral:rRNA from 1 species